CAAUUUCGUCGGGGAAGAAAAUGACUGUACCCGAAUAAGAAGGUCCGGCUAACUUCGUGCCAGCAGCCGCGGUAAUACGAAGGGACCUAGCGAAGUUCGGAAUUACUGGGCUAAAAGAGCUCGUAGGUGG
rnacentral:rRNA from 1 species